CCUACGGGAGGCAGCAGUAGGGAAUAUUGGACAAUGGGCGCAAGCCUGAUCCAGCCAUCCCGCGUGAAGGAUUAAGGCCCUCUGGGUUGUAAACUUCUUUUCUCUGGGAAUAAAAACCGGUAUUCAUAUUGGCUUGAAGGUACCAGAGGAAUAAGCACCGGCUAACUCCGUGCCAGCAGCCGCGGUAAUACGGAGGGUGCAAGCGUUAUCCGGAUUCACUGGGUUUAAAGGGUGCGUAGGUGGCUUUGUAAGUCAGUGGUGAAAUGCCGCAGCUCAACUGCGGAACUGCCAUUGAUACUGCUUAGCUUGAAUCACGUCGAGGUGGAUGGAAUAAUACAUGUAGCGGUGAAAUGCUUAGAUAUGUAUUAGAACACCGAUUGCGAAGGCAGUUCACUAGGCGUGUAUUGACACUGAGGCACGAAAGCGUGGGGAUCAAACAGGAUUAGAUACCCUGGUAGUCCACGCCCUAAACGAUGUAAACUCGACAUUAGCGAUAUACUGUUAGUGUCCAAGCGAAAGCGUUAAGUUUACCACCUGGGAAGUACGACCGCAAGGUUGAAACUCAAAUGAAAUUGACCGGNUGAGACGNGCGACGACGACGACGAGGGAGGAGG
rnacentral:rRNA from 1 species